rnacentral:rRNA from 1 species
AACGCGAAGAACCUUACCUGGGCUCGAAAUGCUAUGGACCGGGGUAGAAAUAUCCCUUCCCCGCAAGGGGCCGUAGUAUAGGUGCUGCAUGGCUGUCGUCAGCUCGUGUCGUGAGAUGUUGGGUUAAGUCCCGCAACGAGCGCAACCCUUACUUCCAGUUGCCAUCAUUUAGUUGGGCACUCUGGCAGAACCGCCUCGGAUAACGGGGAGGAAGGUGGGGAUGACGUCAAGUCCUCAUGGCCUUUAUGUCCAGGGCUACACACGUGCUACAAUGGCCGGUACAAACCGUCGCAAACCCGCGAGGGGGAGCUAAUCGGAGAAAGCCGGCCUCAGUUCGGAUUGCAGUCUGCAACUCGACUGCAUGAAGCUGGAAUCGCUAGUAAUCGCGGAUCAGAACGCCGCGGUGAAUACGUUCCCGGGCCUUGUA